GAAGUAAGACAGUAAAGACACUGAAAGUCCAGUGUAUUUUAUGUUUUCACUGUAGGUCAGUGAUGAUGAUGGUGUUGGGUGGAAGAGAAGACUGAGCCAUGUACUGAAACCAGAUGAAAGGUGGAUCAAGAUUGUAGUGGGACACUACAGAGAGAAUAAGAGAUUCAGAACGAAACAGAAAGCAAAGACACUGAGCAGAUUUUCUUUAAUAAGCUGAUCCUUGUGAGAGCAAACAUUAAAUAAUAUUUAAAACCAAAGAAAAUUGAAGCCCAUUGAAAACUGAAUGUCAGAGACAGAGGCCUUGGAUGCGAAAAGGGCUUCAUUCUUUUCCAGGGACUGAAGGUGAUUUGCCCUACCUGAAGGUAGCAAUCACACAUUGUUUUCUUCUAGAACCCAGUGAGGAAACUGAAGCCUUGAGAAUGCAGGCGUGUUGAUGGGAUGGAACCGUGAGUCGGCAGAAGGGAACCAGAACACUACCUUAAGCCCUGCUUUUCCAUCAUAUCCAAGCACUGUAUACUGAACAUUGUCGGGGAUGGAAAAAAAAAAUCUCAAAGUCCUGAUUCUGGUGGUUCUUCGUUUCGUUUUAUGUAUGUAUGCGUGUAUAUGU